rnacentral:rRNA from 1 species
AUACGUAGGGUGCGAGCGUUGUCCGGAAUUACUGGGCGUAAAGAGCUCGUAGGUGGUUUGUCGCGUCGUCUGUGAAAUUCCGGGGCUUAACCCCGGGCGUGCAGGCGAUACGGGCAUAACUUGAGUACUGUAGGGGAGACUGGAAUUCCUGGUGUAGCGGUGAAAUGCGCAGAUAUCAGGAGGAACGCCGGUGGCGAAGGCGGGUCUCUGGGCAGUAACUGACGCUGAGGAGCGAAAGCAUGGGUAGCGAACAGGAUUAGAUACCCUGGUAGUCCAUGCCGUAAACGGUGGGCGCUAGGUGUAGGGGUCUUCCACGACUUCUGUGCCGUAGCUAACGCAUUAAGCGCCCCGCCUGGGGAGUACGGCCGCAAGGCUAAAACUCAAAUGAAUUGACGGGG